rnacentral:lncRNA from 1 species
UGGUGCGUGAGAAACUGUAAGAAUUGGAAGACUGUUUUAUGGUCCUUUUAAUCAUGAUUUAAUCAGACAUUAUGUGCUUCGGAAUUUUUUGUUUAUGGCUUCAGCAGAUAUCUAAGCUCUCUCAGUUCUGGUCGGGCUGCCUGAGGCUGGCUCUGCCCUUCAUGUUCCUAGGCACAUAGCCAGCUCAGUUGGAAGCUGUCCCACGCAGCUCUCGAGCAGACGUCUGCGGUCCUAUUGUCUGUGAUGUUGCUUGACAUUCUGGUCCUGCCUGUGGGCGAGUCUCAGCCUGCGAGUGUCUGGUCCCGGCGCAGACCGGCUGCCUCCUCACAGCUUCACUGCAGUCACUCUGAAGACAUGGAGUUCAGGGCCACGCUCACAACUGUGGCGCUCUGGGCUCUGCUGCAGUGGCUGGUUGAGUCUUCUGCUACGCAGACUUGUAGUGCACCCAGGGAUACCUUUAAAAGACUUGUAAGUAGAAUUUACAUUCAAAAGUACAUUAACUUACAUGCCGAACACAUCUUCUUCCCAGCCAAAUAUAGUAAGUUAGUACUGCUGAGGAU